GUUUCUGUAGUGUAGUGGUUAUCAUGAUCGCCUCAAUUGAAGGUCCUUGCUCAGUACGGGCGGAAACA